CAUAUACUCCCUCCGUCCGGAAUUACCUGUUGGAGAAAUGGAUGUAUCUAGACGUAUUUAAAGUUCUAAAUACAUCAAUAUCUAUCAUUUCUGCGACAAGUAAUUUGGGACGGAGGGAGUAUUUA
rfam:Triticum aestivum genome assembly, contig: Triticum_aestivum_CS42_TGACv1_scaffold_019200_1AS